AGAGCACAUCUUGCGGAAGACGCAUGACCAGCCAGCGCGGGCCGCGGUGCGCAGGCACGCUUGCAGCCCCGGGCCUCACUAAACCAACAUAUGGGAAUGCAUCUAUCUUCAUCGCACGUGUUCGGCGAGACCAACUUCCGCCUGCUCCACCUUUCCACCCCCCCUCCCUCCGCGCCUCCCCCCCCCAGCUGCCCCACUCACUGACACGCGAGGGGGAAGCGGGAGCGAGAGCAUACGAGGGCAACGCCUUGUGCUCCCUUGCAAUCUUUGCAUCGUGCGGCAGGGAGAACGUGUAUACCGCAGGGAGAGUGUGACGGUGGCAACGUCAUCUUGUGCGGCCUGCCUGGCAUGCUUGCUCGCAUGUAACCGGGCGUCCUCGCGAUGCUGUCCCUGGAAC
rnacentral:lncRNA from 1 species